CAGCAAGCCUCCAGCUCGCGGUCUCUCACCGAGGACCAAGAGACGUUGGUGUGCAGGAAAUUCUGUGCGUGUGUUUGUCAUUCCCGUGUGGAAUUUGUUUCAAAGACGUUGUCAUCUGUGUAGAAGCUAGUUUCGAUAUCUGGUGUCUACCCCUUGCCCUGGGUGCGGAGAUCGAGGAGGGUGAAGGGAGGAGCAACCCUGAGCAUCUGCCAUCCUGCUCCAUCUGAUCUAGAUUCCAGGAUGGAGCGAAUCAGGCAGAUGCUCAGGAGGAAGGCCAGGCAGGUGGCUCCACAGCCUGAAGAAGACAUCAGCCAGCCUGCCCAGGCGGAGAGCGGCCCCUCUGUCCCCGCGGGCGGGGAAGAGGCUCGUGGCCAGGGGAAAGAGAGGAGCUGCUUCGCCU